rnacentral:rRNA from 1 species
UUUCACCGAAAGAUCUUGAUUUUAUUUAUAAUUGAAAAUUGUUCCCGCUCUUGUCAAGUAGAUGAGUAUAAAUUAUUCUUAUGUUGUGAUACAUUAUUCGGUUGAUCUUAUACCUGUUUAACGAUUUCUUUGUUUAGUUAACUGUCUGGCUAUGAGGUCAGAUAGAAUUAAAUAUCUCAGUUACUAUUUGUUAGGAAAGGGUUAAAAUUACCCAGUCUUUAUAAUUGUGUUACAACUUUGGUUGGAAGGUGUGUGAAGAUUUUGUGCAUUGGUCGUUAGGUUUAAUAAUUAGCAUCCUUUUAUGAUUAAAUUAGUAAUUAUAAUGUAAACUCUGUUUCUCAAGGAUUUCCUGUCUGUUUAUUAAAAACAUUUCCACGUGUGGAUCAUACGUGGUAGUACCUGCUCUAUGCUUUUAGUAAAUGGCCGCAGUAUCUUGACUGUGCGAAGGUAGCAUAAUUAAUUGCCUUAUAAUUGAAGGCUUGUUUGAAUGGUUUGACAAGGUGAUACCUAACAUGGUUUACGUUAUUGAAUUUAAUGCUGGGGGCACAGAAUCCCCUGAGUUAAAUUAGACGGAAAGACCCCGGGAUCUUGAUAUUUUGUCUGGGGCAGAUUAUAGUUAUUUACUUAUAAAUUGGACCCUAAUGGUGCAAUGGUGUAAGUUACCCCGGGGAUAACAGUGUAAUAGUUUAUUAGAGAUCUUAUCGAAUUAACUGCUUGCCACCUCGAUGUUGACUUAGGUUUAAACUUGGGCGCAGUAGUUUGAGUUUUUGGUCUGUUCGACCUUAGAAUACCUCCAUGAGUUGAGUUAAGACCGGCGUGA